rnacentral:rRNA from 1 species
UACGGGGGGGGCAAGCGUUGUUCGGAAUCACUGGGCGUAAAGGGAGCGUAGGCGGCGCGGUAAGUCGGAUGUGAAAUCCCGAGGCUCAACCUCGGAACUGCAUCUGAUACUGCCGUGCUAGAGUAAUGGAGGGGUAGCUGGAAUUCUCGGUGUAGCAGUGAAAUGCGUAGAUAUCGAGAGGAACACUCGUGGCGAAAGCGAGCUACUGGACAUUUACUGACGCUGAGGCUCGAAGGCUAGGGGAGCGAAAGGG